rnacentral:tRNA from 1 species
GCGGCUAUGGUGUAACGGUAGCACUUCUCCCUGUGACGGAGUCAGUUCGGGUUCAAAUCCCGAUAGUCGCCCA